UGCAGCUCAGUGGUAGAGCCCUUGCCCAGCAUGCAUGAGCCCUGGGUUCCAUCCCCAGCACUGCAA
rnacentral:tRNA from 1 species